AAGUCGUAACAAGGUUUCCGUAGGUGAACCUGCGGAAGGAUCAUUAACACCAAAUCUUUUGUAUCCAAAAUCUUUUGGAUCACAAACCAACCCGUACGAACCGUUCUCUCUAGUGUUGUCCCUUUCUUUUCUUGGCUUUCUUUUGAGAGUCAAGGGAAGUGGUUGGAUGCUAACCCCAUCCAGCCUAAUUUUUUUCCAACAAACGAUUCUGACUCUAACUGACUGAAAUCGUGGGCUUUGAGGGUGUGUGGUGUGUAUGCAUCACAUCCCCCCAAACCUACAAAAAUCACUAAACGUGAAACAACUCUUAACAACGGAUAUCUUGGCUCUC
rnacentral:misc_RNA from 1 species